rnacentral:lncRNA from 1 species
UCUAGGGCUUUCCAGGAGCCAUGGGACCUAGAGGACCUAAGGGUCACAUGGGUGAAAGAGUGAUAGGACAUAAAGGAGAGCGGGGUGUGAAAGGGUUAACAGGACCCCCGGGACCACCAGGAACAGUUAUUGUGACCCUAACUGGCCCAGAUAACAGAACGGACCUCAAGGGGGAAAAGGGAGACAAGGGAGCAAUGGGCGAGCCUGGACCUCCUGGACCCUCAGGAAAACCCGGAAAAGAUGGUGU